UGAGAGGAUACAUUUCCGUUUUCAACGAACAGUCAAUCCUUAUAACAGAGAAAAUACCGAAGUUUGUCCCAUCGUCCUUGGAUUGAAAUUGAUGACUUGAUUUCACAAUGCGUACUAAAUAUUAUAUCUGAAUCUACAAUGGGAUGUAAAGUAAAUUCUCAAUUGAACAAAACAGAUGCUGAAGCCUACUUGAAAACAUUUCACGAUUUCUCUGAAAUUUUGAUGCAUCGUGUAAUGAGACCAUGGACUUAUAAUGACACUUUGUUUUUUCGUUGCUUUCCCACCGGAAGAAAUUUUCUGAACCUAUUGGAGCGUAUGAAGACAAUCC